CUCCUCAUGUACUGCGCCAGACUGGCCAGUUCUAGGGGUUGUUGUUGCCAUCCUGUGUGGCCAGGUUGGA